AGAGUUUGAUCCUGGCUCAGGACGAACGCUGGCGGCGUGCCUUACCCAUGCAAGUCGAACGGUCAGGCGAGAGUCUGACAGUGGCAGACGGCUGAGUAACACGUGAGGAUCUGUCCAGUCGAGGGGGAUAGCCGCUCGAAAGAGCGGGUAAUACCGCGUAAGCUCUGGGGGGUUUGGUCUUCGGACUAGUUCUCCUGGAGGAAACCUCGGAGUGUGAAAGCUGCGGGGGCGAUUGGAGGAGCUCGCGGCCCAUCAGGUAGUCGGCGGGGUAGCGGCCCACCGAGCCGAUGACGGGUAGCUGGUCUGAGAGGAUGAUUAGCCAGACUGGGACUGAGAGACGGCCCAGACUCCUACGGGGGGCAGCAGGGGGGAAUCUUGGUCAAUGGGGGAAACCCUGAACCAGCGACGCCGCGUGAGGGACGAAGGCCUUCGGGUCGUAAACCUCUUUUGCCAGGGAAGAUGAUGACGGUACCUGGCGAAUAAGCCCCGGCUAACUACGUGCCAGCAGCCGCGGUAAUACGUAGGGGGCGAGCGUUGUCCGGAUUUACUGGGCGUAAAGAGCGCGUAGGCGGUUUCGAGAGUCGGCUGUGAAAUCUCCAGGCUCAACCUGGAGGGGUCGGCCGAGACCUCGAGACUUGAGGGUGGUAGAGGAAGGUGGAAUUCCGGGUGUAGUGGUGAAAUGCGUAGAUAUCCGGAGGAACACCAGUGGCGAAGGCGGCCUUCUGGGCCAAACCUGACGCUGAGGCGCGAAAGCGUGGGGAGCGAACCGAAUUAGAUACUCGGGUAGUCCACGCCCUAAACGAUGGACGCUAGGUGUCGGGGGUAUCGACCCCUCCGGUGCCCGAGCUAACGCAGUAAGCGUCCCGCCUGGGGAGUACGGCCGCAAGGCUAAAACUCAAAGGAAUUGACGGGGGCCCGCACAAGCAGCGGAGCGUGUGGUUUAAUUCGACGCGACGCGUAGAACCUUACCAGGGCUUGACAUCUACCCGUAAGCUGGUGAAAGCCAGCCCCUCUUCGGAGCGGGUGGACAGAUGCUGCAUGGCUGUCGUCAGCUCGUGCCGUGAGGUGUUGGGUUAAGUCCCGCAACGAGCCAACCCCUGUCGCUAGUUGCAAAUCUAGCGAGACUGCCGAGACAAACUCGGAGGAAGGUGGGGAUGACGUCAAGUCAGCACGGCUCUUACGCCCUGGGCUACACACACGCUACAAUGGUCCGUACAACGGGGAGCGAGAGGGCGACCUGUUAGCGAAUCCCUGAAAGCGGACCUCAGUUCAGAUCGGAGUCUGAAACCCGACUCCGUGAAGUCGGAGUUGCUAGUAACCGUGGGUCAGCACACCGCGGUGAAUACGUUCCCGGGCCUUGUACACACCGCCCGUCACGUCAUGAAAGCCGGCAAGACCUGAAGCCGCCGAUGCCAACGGAGGGCAACCCCCGAAGCAGGCGUCGAAGGUCGGGCUGGUGAUUGGGACGAAGUCGUAACAAGGUA
rnacentral:rRNA from 1 species